rnacentral:lncRNA from 1 species
AAAUGAGUUUUAAGCUGUUUAUACAUCAUGACUCAUGUACAAAAGGUUGAACCUUUUGUACACGAGUCAUGAUGUAUAAACCGUUGUGCAGAAAAAGUGAUACCAGAUCGAUCCAGUGGUUUAGCCGUGAUGGAUUUUUUGAGAACAUAACUUUGUGACUCACUUAUUGGAAUACCUAUUCAUUGGACUUACUAUAACACGGUCCAGGGGAAACCACGUGACUAAAUUGGAUAACGUGCACCCAAAAGUGCUAAAAAUAGGCCCACUUCAGCAUGGAGAAUGAAUAAAUGUGCCAGGAGUGCGGAAAGUCUUUUCGGAGAAAAAGUAAUUUAAAUAAGCACGAGAAGAGACAUAGUGGAGCGUGUCCCUACCACUGUUGUGGAAAAAACUACUCUUCAAAGGCCCAUCUGUCUAGACAUCGGUGCCAGCUGUAAGGACAACCUCUUAUGGUAAGAACUCCUCCAAGUAUGCUGCGCUGGUGCUGUGGAACUCACUACCAGAACACUUCAGGACCUGCUCCAGCUUCAAUCAAUUCAGAAGCCUCAUAUCCAUAUGGAGUGGCAGGGACUGUAAGUGUAUUGCUUGUAAACCAGGUUGGUG